AAGCACUGCCUUUGAGCCUCAUGUGUCUUGUAGCUUCACUGGCCAAGCAACAGUGCUAGAGCAUAAGGACUUGUAACUGGGGCUCUUCAGCUCUCAACUGCUCUUUUAAAAACAAAGUACAUUU